UACAAACAAGCACACAUCUCUUUUUAUUAUUUAUUUUUCUUCUUUUUUCUUUUACAUUCACAUAUUACAAAUUUAAAAUAAAUAAACAAAAAUUACAUUAAAACUUUAAAAUUUACAAAAUGGUCCCUAAAAACUCCAGAAAUUGCAGGGAAGGACUCCUGGGGGCUGCGUGAACAGUUCCGGCGCGUGGACCCACGCGCCGCCGCAAGAAAAACCCAACAGCAAGGGGCUGGAUCGACUCCCUCUUCUCAGCCUCCCAACGCCGGCGGUGAGGACCGCCGUUACCUACAAUAACAGAAAAAGCACAACACAGUCGAUUUUAAUUUUUGUUUUUUCAUUUUGCAGAGCUGCUUCGGUUUUUCUUCUUCUCGGUUUCGGUUCUAAAUUCUUUCCCCAGAUCGGUCUGUUAUGGGUUUCUUCUUCGUCUCCGGUGGUAGAUCGUCGUGGAGGAGGAGCUGUGGGUGGUCGAUUGAAGCAGGAACCCGGCGGCGGUGCUGAGGAGUUCGGGUCGGUGGCGAUGGAGA
rnacentral:lncRNA from 1 species